rnacentral:rRNA from 1 species
AACUUGAGAGUUUGAUCCUGGCUCAGAACGAACGCUGGCGGCAGGCUUAACACAUGCAAGUCGAGCGCCCCGCAAGGGGAGCGGCAGACGGGUGAGUAACGCGUGGGAAUCUACCCAUCUCUACGGAACAACUCCGGGAAACUGGAGCUAAUACCGUAUACGUCCUUCGGGAGAAAGAUUUAUCGGAGAUGGAUGAGCCCGCGUUGGAUUAGCUAGUUGGUGGGGUAAUGGCCUACCAAGGCGACGAUCCAUAGCUGGUCUGAG